rnacentral:rRNA from 1 species
CCUACGGGAGGCAGCAGUGGGGAAUAUUGCACAAUGGGGGAAACCCUGAUGCAGCGACGCCGCGUGAGUGAAGAAGUAUCUCGGUACGUAAAGCUCUAUCAGCAGGGAAGAAAAUGACGGUACCUGACUAAGAAGCCCCGGCUAACUACGUGCCAGCAGCCCCGGGAAUAUGUAGGGGGCAAGCGUUAUCCGGAUGUACUGGGGGUAAAGGGAGCGUAGACGGCAGCACAAGUCUGGAGUGAAAUCCCGGGGGUUAACCCCGGAAGUGCUGUGGAAACUGGGCGGCUGGAGUGCAGGAGGGGUAAGCGGAAUUCGUAGUGUAGCGGUGAAAUGCGUAGAUAUUAGGAGGAACACCGGUGGCGAAGGCGGCUUACUGGACUGUAACUGACGUUGAGGCACGAAAGCGUGGGGAGCAAACAGGAUUAGAUACCCUGGUAGUC